rnacentral:rRNA from 1 species
GUGAGGAAUCUUGCGCAAUGGGCGAAAGCCUGACGCAGCGACGCCGCGUGGAGGAUGAAGGCCUUCGGGUUGUAAACUUCUGUUAAGUGGGAAGAAAAGCCUGUCCUAAAUAGGGACAGGAAAUGACGGUACCAUUAGAGAAAGCACUGGCUAAUCUCGUGCCAGCAGCCGCGGUAAUACGGAGGGUGCAAGCGUUAAUCGGAAUUACUGGGCGUAAAGCGCACGCAGGCGGUCAUUUAAGUCGGACGUGAAAGCCCCGGGCUCAACCUGGGAAUUGCAGGUCGAACUGCUUGGCUAGAGUAUGGUAGAGGGGUGUGGAAUUCCAGGUGUAGCGGUGAAAUGCGUAGAUAUCUGGAGGAACAUCAGUGGCGAAGGCGACACCCUGGACCGAUACUGACACUGAGGUGCGAAAGCGUGGGUAGCGAACAGGAUUAGAUACCCUUGUAGUCC